CCAAAGGCUCUUUUAAGAGCCCCCAUGCAUUCCUAAAAAGAGCUGU
rfam:Egretta garzetta contig51949, whole genome shotgun sequence.